GCAUCAUUGUAAAAAUGAUGCAGGAUCGACUAUGUCGAAUAAAAUUCUAGGUAGAAUUAUGAUAAUGACAUUGUCUGCCUAUGUGUCUUGACCAANUUACGUGCCAGCAGUCGCGGUAAUACGUAGAAGACUAGUGUUAUUCAUGUUUAAUCGGUUUAAAGGGUACCUAGACGGUAAAUCAAGCCUAAAAUUAAAUGAAGGGACUAAUUUACUAGAGUUACUUAUGAGGGGGUAUUAAAGUACUGCUGGUGUAGAGAUGAAAUUCUGUCAUACCUCUUUUCAAUAGAAAAACAAUGGCACAGGUAUAGGCGAAAGCAUCCCCUUAUGUGAUAACUGACGUUGAGGGACGAAGGCUUUGUGUAGCGAACAGGAUUAGAUACCCCAGUAGUCAAAGCAGAAAAUGAUGAAUGUCAUAGAUUAGAUAAAUAAGUUUAUUCUAUAAAUGAAAGUGUAAGCAUUCCACCUCAAGAGUAAUUUGGCAACAUUGGAACUGAAAUCAUUAGACCGUUUCUGAAACCAGUAGUGAAGUAUGUUGUUUAAUUUGAUGAUCCGCAAAAAACCUUACCACAAUUUGAAUAUUUAUAUUUUUUUAUUGUUUUCUUUUUAAUUUUCUUCUGANUUGAUUUUUUCUAAAGAAAAAAAGAAAAAGAGGCGAUAUGAUAUAUUUACAAAGCGUUGCACGGCUGUCUUCAGUUAAUGUCGCGAGACUUUGGUUAGUUCCAUU
rnacentral:rRNA from 1 species